GUGCUGCUUUUAAGGCAUAUAUUUACUAAAGUUGAAACGAUGUAGAGAAUAUUAUUGAGGCCCCUGCGAAAGGAUGACACCCCCAAAUUCGUGAAGCAUUCUACAUUUUA